rnacentral:misc_RNA from 1 species
CACCAUAAUAUAAUCAUUAUCACAAUUUCUCUGUUCAAUGUUUGAGAUACAAAGCAAAACAAAACAAAGGCAAUUCUCUCCCAUUCUGUAAAUCUAGAUGGGUCACUGUAUACAUUUCAUUUCAAGCAAAUUUCCAAACACUUCAAAAAUAGAUACAUAAGCUUGGAUCAUCAUGUCCAAUGUCAAAGAUCUCCAGGGAAAAAAGAAGAAAUCUUAAGUUCAAAUGAGCACCAGGGAUAGAAUGAAAAUUGAAAUCAAGGCUCCAGAUAUCGUCUGCAGGGUGUUUCUGUGCUCGCCACCAUGGGAAGUGAUUCUCAAAUUUUUGUUGCCUGUCCAGCUGAGGCUUAUAUUUUUAUUCAUAAGAGACCUGGGAAUAGAUCCAUUAAAAUUGUUGCCAGACAAAUUCAAUUCUUUCAGAUUAGGUAGCAAGCCAAGGAAUUCUGGAACAUUUCCAGUCAAAUUAUUGUUCUGUAAAUCUAUAUAUUCAAGAGCAUCCAUUGAGCUGAAAUCUGGGAGUGGCCCAGAAAGUAAAUACCCGCUGAGAUUCAAUGCAAUUACUCGAGGCGAAACAUCAGCACUGCAAUUGAGCCAAUCCCAUGCAUCUUUUUUUGGAAGACAGGGGUCACUCUUCCAUUCCCGUAAUAUACUGAAACCUCCUUGCAAGGCAUCUAGCCCCUCCACAUCUGCACUGGAUGUUCUAGUUAGUGGAUCACUGACAAGAAAAAGUUCCAAGGCGUUGAUGGUCGGAGUGACUGUUGAAUUAUCAUUGCUUGUAGGAACUAAAUAAAACCAAGAUGCAUUUGAAGCAGUAAUGUUUGGAAAGCUUAGUUCAGUAACGUUGUUGUAAUAUGGGACAACAGGUUCAGAGGUAAGCAAGAGAUCAUCCUUAAAUACUAGAAAAGACCGCUUUUGGGGAGGAGAGGCUUCUAUUUCUUUAUCCACUACAGCAAAGUACAUGUUCAUGUAUAUGGGAACUUGAACUGUUGGUAGCCGAACGAAUCUAAAGUUCGUUAGAGGAAACAAAACACCAAGCAAAACAGCUUUUGGAGGUUGAUCACUCGUGUCAACAACAAUAGAAUCAUUUUCUCUUUUUACAAAUAUAUAAUCACCUAAAAUGUUUGGUGGAUUCCAAAUUCGAUCAUACUCGUCAUCCGGAUGCCUGACAGCUGAAAUUAUUCCAAAAGAAAUCCUAUAUUGCAAGAACAAAGCAACAUUUUUAUCAGCACGAGCAGCAUACAUCUCUGUAGCCAAACUCCUCACUUCAAGUGCUGACAUGAAGGGAAACUGGCCAGUUUUCAUCCGCGCUACGCACACACUUAUAGCAUCCCCUUUAACAUAGUAAAUAGCCUCAUGACGAACUUCUUUAUCAAUUUCAGUCUCAACCACAGCCCAGAAGUUGCCAUCAAGUUGCAGCUCAAAAGUAGGGGGUUGGGAUUUAUUAUCAUAGUUUCCAUAAUAGAAGGUAGCGCGAACAAGAACUUUUUCGUCCUCGGUAGCAUUGAUAGAGUAGCAACUCCUUUUUUCUGAAAUGAAUGCUCUCAGUGAGCGCAACUCCCUGUAGCUAUGUUCCACUUGAAAUUCCUGACUCUUGCCGUUUGGCAUGAAAAAAGAGUCAUCUCCAGUCCACUGGACAGAUCUAAAGUCGACGUAGGGAACAGAAGAUCCACAGUCUAUGCUCACAUUCCCUGCAAAUAAUUGAAGAGUUUCAAAGAAAUUGUCAGUAUCCAAAAGCUAGUGAAAGAAGCAAAGAACAAAUAACAAAUAAGAGAUAAAAUUUUAUGCUUGAGUACAGGCUGAACACAAUGUUGACAUGGCAGAAAGGAGUAAGAGCAGCAACAGAGGUAGGUGGCUAGCCAUGGUGAGGCUCAGGCAAGCUCUGAACUUG